AGCUGUUUGCUGUUGGAUCAAUAAAUCUCACGGCGGCAGAAGCAGCUCGAUAGUGUGAACGUUAACUGUGCAUUAUUUCCCUUGUAUAAAUUAAAGAAUGUGGACCUGAUUCUCAAUGCAUACCUCUAAUCUCUAAUGAUUUGUAAAAUGAAGAAUGUAACUUGUGAGAUAAGCCUGUCAAGAUGUUAAUGUCUACAAUGAGAACAACUACGUCGUAAGUUUUUUCAGAAUGUGUUGAAAUAUGAGCACAAGGUCUCAUCCGAGGGAUGAAGCUUGUGAAGACCUGAGAGGAUUUGGUUGAGCGAACUUUCUGAUUCUUUGAUGGAACAUGCCUCCUUUCAGAUUCUGCUGAGGAAUAAUGAACAAGAGGCCUAAGAAAGCAUGUAUGAUUUAUAUACAUUGAGGGUUGUAGUGGCAAGUUUUUUGGCAGCAGUUGCAGACUAUACUAAAUUUAUACCUGCCACUACUUUUGUUCGUUUUGCAUGAAAUGUUUUGUUCUCGUUUGCUUUCUCAAUUUCCCACCAACUUCUUCGUAACGUGAUCCUGAGGACUGUGGAUCAACACUUUUGCCUAGAAGCUGAUGCUUGAGUGCUCGAUCAGGGUUAU